CGACCCGAUUGCAGAGAUGGGACCAUCCUCCAGCAUCCUGAUUCAAGAGACACCAGGGUUCAUCUUAACAGAGAAGAGGAUCCUGACCCGACGUGUGUUCGUCAGCUUGGACCCCAAGAUUUCCAUCGAGAAGGCAUACAACAUUUCAUCGAUGCAGCUUCCUGAGUUACAGACUUGGUACCAGAUGCACCUCCAAAGAGCACAGGACCGUGUGCGAAACAUCUUGGAGCAAGCCCGGAAACCAUUUGUAUCCAGUUCUAUUCCGAUGAGCAACCGACCCAAAAGGUUCCUCACCGCUAUAAUUGUUGCAUUAGUUUGUGCCACUGUCGGUGCAGUUGUCGCAACUGGAAUGUCUGCAG